CACCCGCGCUAAUACGUAGGGGGCAAGCGUUGUCCGGAAUCAUUGGGCGUAAAGAGCGUGUAGACGGCCUGGUAAGUCCGCUCUGAAAGCCCGGGGCUCAACCCCGGGAGGCGGCCGGAUACUGUCAGGCUAGAGUCCGGAAGAGGCGAGUGGAAUUCCUGGUGUAGCGGUGAAAUGCGCAGAUAUCAGGAGGAACACCAAUGGCGAAGGCAGCUCGCUGGGACGGUACUGACGCUGAGACGCGAAAGCGUGGGGAGCACACAGGAUUAGAUACCCUGGUAGUCCACGCUGUAAACGAUGGGCACUAGGUGUGGGGGGUGUCGACUCCCUCCGUGCCGACGCUAACGCAUUAA
rnacentral:rRNA from 1 species